UACGAAGGGGGCUAGCGUUGCUCGGAAUCACUGGGCGUAAAGGCGCGUAGGCGGCCAUUCAAGUCGGGGGUGAAAGCCUGUGGCUCAACCACAGAAUUGCCUUCGAUACUGUUUGGCUUGAGUAUGGUAGAGGUCAGUGGAACUGCGAGUGUAGAGGUGAAAUUCGUAGAUAUCGCAAGAACACCAGUGGCGAAGGCGGCUGACUGGACCAGUUACUGACGCUGAGGCGCGAAAGCGUGGGAGCAAACAGG
rnacentral:rRNA from 1 species